GACGAACGCUGGCGGCGUGCUUAACACAUGCAAGUCGAACGGAAAGGCCCUGCUUUUGUGGGGUGCUCGAGUGGCGAACGGGUGAGUAACACGUGAGUAACCUGCCCUUGACUUUGGGAUAACUUCAGGAAACUGGGGCUAAUACCGGAUAGGAGCUCCUGCUGCAUGGUGGGGGUUGGAAAGUUUCGGCGGUUGGGGAUGGACUCGCGGCUUAUCAGCUUGUUGGUGGGGUAGUGGCUUACCAAGGCUUUGACGGGUAGCCGGCCUGAGAGGGUGACCGGCCACAUUGGGACUGAGAUACGGCACAGACUCCUACGGGAGACAGCAGUGGGGAAUAUUGCAAAAUGGGCGGGAGCCUGAUGCAGCAACGCCGCGUGCGGGAUGACGGCCUUCGGGUUGUAAACCGCUUUCGCCUGUGACGAAGCGUGAGUGACGGUAAUGGGUAAAGAAGCACCGGCUAACUACGUG
rnacentral:rRNA from 1 species